rnacentral:lncRNA from 1 species
CUCCUCAACACUGCUCCAGAUUGUACGUGAUCUGCAAGGGGCAGACAAAUAUCUAGAUCCCAGACCCCUUGGUGGGAGCUGCACGUCAAGGGAAGACAAGUUAAUGCACAGAGGAAAGUCAUGAUUCAAGCAGAGCACAGCUCCAGAGAUCUGAAAUCGCUCACCAUAACGACACGAAAUGUACAGCAAAUCUGAAAUGGAAACCCAAGGAAAGUCUUGCAAAGCCCUUUGCAACUCUAUAGUUGUUGAUGUUUGUUGCAAUGAAACUGUACAGAACAAAACAAACUUCAGCAGGACAUCAGGAUCCUCUCCUGAGCAACAGUGUUCCCGCUGGGUACAUCAUGACAGCAAGUCAGGAGACAGACGCUAUGGCCUGCCAUUUGCUGUGGAUUUCAGGCAGAGGAAUAACCUGCGGACAGGGGAACCCAGUUUGCCCAGUCCAUCGAUUGGGUGGUGAACCGUAAGAAUAGUAUUUUCAAUUUUCAAACAUACACACAAUAUGAUACCUAAAUUGUAGAGGGAAGAAUUAAACUAAUACACGUGUGUUAAAAAUAUUCAACAAAAUAUUCAACAGAGGGGCUCUGAAGAUACAGGCAUUUAAUCACUACACAGCUUAAGAAUUUUAAGGUGCUAAACUCAGGCCUCUCAAAGACACAUAAUACAAUUCAAUUCAAUCCAACAUAACAUUGAGUGGUUAUUAUGUGCCAGAAAUUGGAUCCAGGGGAAUUUUGUCAGUAUCUUCAAAACCACGCCCAGUGCCUGGUAUGCGGUAUAUGCACCAUAAAUGCUUCUGAAUGAAUGAAGAAUGAAUGAAUAAAACUGCAUGGCCCACUCAAGG